CGCACGGGUGCGUAACGCGUAUGCAACCUACCAUCAACAGGGGGAUAACACUGAGAAAUUGGUACUAAUACCCCAUAAUAUCUCAUGCGGCAUCGCAUGGGGUUGAAAACUCCGGUGGUUGAUGAUGGGCAUGCGUUGUAUUAGCUGGUUGGUGAGGUAACGGCUCACCAAGGCGACGAUACAUAGGGGGACUGAGAGGUCAACCCCCCACAUUGGUACUGAGACACGGACCAAACUCCUACGGGAGGCAGCAG
rnacentral:rRNA from 1 species